rnacentral:rRNA from 1 species
UGAAAGCUUGCUUUUAGAAUGACUGAGCGGCGGACGGGUGAGUAACGCGUGAGCAACCUGGCCUGUACAGGGGGAUAACAGCUGGAAACGGCUGCUAAUACCGCAUAAGACCACAGCACCGCAUGGUGGAGGGGUCAAAGAUUUAUCGGUACAGGAUGGGCUCGCGUCCCAUUAGCUGGUUGGCAGGGUAAAAGCCUACCAAGGCAACGAUGGGUAGCCGACCUGAGAGGGUGAUCGGCCACACUGGAACUGAGACACGGUCCAGACUCC